UAGAGUUUGAUCAUGGCUCAGGAUAAACCCUUGCGGCGUGCCUAACACAUGCAAGUCGAACGAUCCCGCAAGGGAGAGUGGCGGAAGGGUGAGUAACACGUGGGAAUCUACCUCCUCGCAGGGAACAACCUCUCGAAAGAGAGGCUAAUACCCAAAAGGGUCAGAAAUGAUCAGAGUCGAAAGGCGUGAGGAGAGGAGCCCGCGGCCCAUCAGCUAGUUGGUGAGGUAAUGGCUUACCAAGGCUACGACGGGUAGGGGAUCUGAGAGGAUGUCCCCCACACUGGAACUGAAACACGGUCCAGACGCCUACGGGUGGCAGCAGUGAGGAAUAUUGGACAAUGGGCGAAAGCCCGAUCCAGCAACGCCGCGUGGAGGAUGAAGGCCUUCGGGUCGUAAACUUCUUUAGAGGGAGACGAGAAAGGACGGUAUCCCUAGAAUAAGCGACGGCAAACUACGUGCCAGCAGCCGCGGUAAUA
rnacentral:rRNA from 1 species